ensembl:lncRNA
UCUAGGUCUUCAUCCUGCACCACCGUGUCCUUCCUGAGACCUUUCUACAGACCUGGUCCAGGACCUGAUCUGGAACGUGCUUUAUGGACUGCAUUUAGUAAGCGUUCUUCUGCCCUAUGGCCGCUCCACACUGAUUCACCCAUUCAUAAAUACAUUAACACAGGCAUGCACAGCGACAAUGGUGUCGGCCACGCAGGGUAACAGCCAGCCGGUCGGGAGCAGUGAGGGUGAGCUGCCUUGCUCAGGGGCAUCUCCUUACUCAGAUAGGAGGAGCCGGGGUUCGAACCAGAGACCUUCAGGUUGACAGAGGAUCUGCUCCAGCUCUAGAGUGUUCCCGCCCCGUGGGAGGAGGAGGCUGAGGAGGAGGAGGCUGUAGUGGAGGAGGCUGUAGAGGAGGAGGAGGCUGAGGAGAAGGAGCCUGUAUAGGAGGAGGAGGAGGCUGUAGAAGGGGAGGAGCCUGAGGAGGAGGAGGAGGCUGUAGAGGGGAGGAGUCUGAGGAGGAGGAGGCUGUAGAGGAGCAGCUCUCAGCAGCUCUCAGCUGCCCAGCAGGACGAGGGAGGAGACGCGGGUGGUGGUACG